rnacentral:rRNA from 1 species
AUUGAACGCUGGCGGCAGGCCUAACACAUGCAAGUCGAACGAGUGGCGGACGGGUGAGUAAUGUCUGGGAAACUGCCCGAUGGAGGGGGAUAACUACUGGAAACGGUAGCUAAUACCGCAUACCAUCGGAUGUGCCCAGAUGGGAUUAGCUAGUAGGUGGGGUAACGGCUCACCUAGGCGACGUUCCCUAGCUGGGCUGCGAGGAUGACGAGCGACACUGGAACGUAGACACGGGCCAUGCUCCUACGGGAGGCAGCAGUGGGGAAUAUUGCACGAUGGGCGCAAGCCUGAUGCAGCCAAGCCGCGUGUAUGAAGAAGGCCGUCGGGUUGUAAAGUACUUUCAGCGAGGAGGCGUUACUCGCAGAAGAAGCACCGGCUAACUCCGUGCCAGCAGCCGCGGUAAUUC